rnacentral:rRNA from 1 species
CCAAUAGCGUAUAUUAAGGUUGCUGCGGUUAAAAAGCUCGUAGUUGAAUUUCGGGAUUGAUGCAUCGGUCGUGCCUUAAGGGGUAUGAACUGGUGUAGCCAAUUUCUUACCUUCUGGUGAAUUGUGAUGUCCUCCUUAAUUGGGUGUUUCAAUGAACUAGGACUUUUUACUUUGAAAAAAUUAGAGUGUUUAAAGCAGGCAUUAUUUGCUUGAAUACAUUAGCAUGGAAUAAUAAAAUAGGACAAUGAUUCUAUUUUGUUGGUUUCUAGGAUCACUGUAAUGGUUAAUAGGGAUAGUUGGGGGCAUUAGUAUUCAAUUGUCAGAGGUGAAAGUCUUGGAUUAAUUGAAGACUAACUACUGCGAAAGCAUUUGCCAAGGAUAUUUUCAUUAAUCAAGAACGAAAGUUAGGGGAUCGAAGACGAUUAGGUACGUCGUAGUCUUAACCAUAAACUAUGCCGACUAGGAAUCAGACAACGUUAAAUUUUUAAUGACUUGUUUGGCACCUUACG